rnacentral:rRNA from 1 species
CGACCGGCGCACGGGUGAGUAACGCGUAUCCAACCUGCCUUACACUCUUGGACAGCCUUCUGAAAGGGAGAUUAAUACAAGAUGUUAUCAUGAGUAAGCAUUUUUGCAUGAUUAAAGGUUUACCGGUGUAAGAUGGGGAUGCGUUCCAUUAGAUAGUAGGCGGGGUAACGGCCCACCUAGUCUUCGAUGGAUAGGGGUUCUGAGAGGAAGGUCCCCCACAUUGGAACUGAGACACGGUCCAA